rnacentral:miRNA from 1 species
UUUGUAUUACGUGCGGAAAUUAUUACCAUUUUUGAGCCGAAAAUGGUAACAAUUUCCGCACGUAAUACAAA